UAAUUACCAGUAACUGGAUGAAAGCAUCCCUGUUGUUUCCAUCAUACCGGAAAUUACCCGAGAGACAUAUGAUGUAACACGUAGAAAGUUCCGGACUAUCGUUAGCUAGUACUAAAGGCAGAGACACGGUUUACUAAAGGUCGACAUUUCACCAAGGUGUCACGUCUGUUUUUAUCAGCGAGCAAAUUUACACAUAUACUAAUAAUUUAAAAAUGCCGAGAGGAAGUAGAAGCCGGACAUCCAGGAUGGCCCCUCCAGCCAGCCGGGCGCCACCAUCACCACCCCCUAUGGCCAGGGCUGCACCUCCUCCCUCGUAUGCCCCGGCUCCAAUGCAUGCUCCUCCAUCUGCUGUGGGUGCUCCAGCUGCAGCACCCAGGCAGCCAGGUAUGUUUGCUCAGAUGGCGACUACAGCCGCUGGAGUGGCAGUGGGCUCUGCAGUAGGACACACAAUCGGCCAUGCCAUGACUGGAGGCUUCGGUGGUGGACACUCAGAGCCUGCCAAGCCAGACGUCACAUACCAGGUAAAUAAACUUUUGUUUAGCCGUACCAUGCGAGCCGUACCAGGCUCAGCCCAUGUACCAGCAGCAGCCACAGUCCAUGUACCAGCAGGAGGCGCCUCAGCAGCAGCAGGCCUGCUCCUAUGAGCUUAAACAGUUCAUCGAGUGUGCCCAAAACCAGAGCGACUAUAAACUCUGUGAGGGCUUCAGUGAGGUGCUGAAACAGUGCAAGUCCUCAUAUGGUAUGUUAUGAGACGACAAAAACCUGGAGAGUGAAGAGCACACAAACUGAAUUAAGCAGCCAUGCUGGAUGAAUACUAAGGGUGUUAAUUCACAAGGGAUCAAUAAACAUGCUUUAUUUUGACAGUUGAUUAUCAUCAGACAGCGUCAUUGUGUUCAUUCUCAGGAAAGUGCUGCUGCAGAGUUUGUAAUAAUAGUAAAUAAUGUUUAUAUAUUUUGCUGCAUGUUGAUUUCAGUUGUCAGUGUUUUUCAUUAGCUUUAGUGCUUUUAAUUUAAAUAGAUGAACAACAUUUGUAGAUCAUGAUAACUUGUAACACCACCAGUUUCCACCUUCUGGAUUAUGGAUGUCUGCAGUUUCUUUGGGUUUCAAAAUAAUAAAGCACCUGAAUCUUAAAAACAA